UCCUGGGUAAAACAACUGCAAACAUUCUGACUGCUUGUGCUGAGUUUCCACUCUAUCCAUCUGGAAAUGUCCUCUAGCCAAACGCUUUUCAACUGAGAGGAAAGGUGCAUUCCUGUUUUUCUUCCCAAAUGUUCCUAUUUAUGGAUUUCAAGUACAGGGACAUAUGCCUACACAACCAUUUCACUGCCAAGCUCUUCAAAGUUCAGUCAGAGUAAGAAAAAGAGACUGGCUCAUUCCAGUGGAGGCUUCAGAACAUCUUUCAAUUGCCCCUCUUCAAGCAGAAGUUGGUGUCAAUAGGCUCCACUGAAGUCAAUGGAGGUACGUUGAUUUGCACCAGUUCUGGAUCUGGCCAUAAAGCAUCUUAUGUACUUCAAGUCUGGAGAAGAUGAGACACGAAUGCUGGAGGAAUUACAAGACAGAGGGGCUUUACUGCAACAGUGAACAAGCUGAAAAUUACAAGUUACCAUGAUGAACUCUGAGCUAAAUUUCGGUUGGGUUUUGCUUAAUUGGAGGAAAGGGACAGAGUUCCAGGAUAAACCAACAGAAGGGACAGUCACUCUGAAUUCAUACAUGAACUCGUGGAUGGAAAGGUUACUCCCCACAGGAGGCAUUCAGGACACCCGGCUGACAAGGUGUUUCUAACAUUAUAACCACCAGAUUUUUAAUGGAGUUUAAAUGUCUUUAAUCACACAGGCUAAGCGGCACUAAGCACAAGUUCAAGGUGAUUCCGACAGCUCUUAUUCUACAUCUGCAUUUUUAUCUUCCUUAGAUUAAUUCAUAUUUAAUUGCUCAUAUCACUGAUUGAAGUACUAGAGAAGGGAGCACUUUAAUUCCUUUGAUCUCAUACUUUUGCUACCUAAUAGCAAGGUCGGUCAUCAGGCAGGCCUGCAAUGUUGCUGGGCUUCUGGGGUGGGCGGAAGAGUAUGAUUGACUUCAAUUAAGUAGUGUGUAUUAUAGGUAGAGCUGAAAGCAACACCUAUAUUAAAGUUGCCUAAUGCUUCCCAUAUUAGCAAAUGCUAUAG